AGAGAAGGUGCUCAGCGCCCGACCUCCAACCCUUUGUUGUUAAAACUACCUUGUUGCUUUGGCGGGACCGCUCGGUCUCGAGCCGCUGGGGAUUCGUCCCAGGCGAGCGCCCGCCAGAGUUAAACCAAACUCUUGUUAUUAAACCGGUCGUCUGAGUUAAAAUUUUGAAUAAAUCAAAACUUUCAACAACGGAUCUCUUGGUUCUCGCAUCGAUGAAGAACGCAGCGAAAUGCGAUAAGUAAUGUGAAUUGCAGAAUUCAGUGAAUCAUCGAAUCUUUGAACGCACAUUGCGCCCCUUGGUAUUCCGAGGGGCAUGCCUGUUCGAGCGUCAUUACACCACUCAAGCUAUGCUUGGUAUUGGGUGCCGUCCUUAGUUGGGCGCGCCUUAAAGACCUCGGCGAGGCCUCACCGGCUUUAGGCGUAGUAGAAUUUAUUCGAACGUCUGUCAAAGGAGAGGACUUCUGCCGACUGAAACCUUUAUUUUUCUAGGUUGACCUCGGAUCAGGUAGGGAUACCCGCUGAACUUAAGCAUAUCAAUAAGGCGGAGGAAUAAUUUUCCGCGCGUA
rnacentral:rRNA from 1 species